UACAGCAUGGCAUAGUGGUUUGAACAUUGGACUAUAUCUCUAGAGACCAGGGUUCGAUUCCCAGUUCAGCCA